GACCACCACGACUGCCUUGGGGGUCCAUUCCGCGUGGUCUUCGUCUUCGUCGUCGACAACGAAGACGUUGACUACGACGACAAUGUCAUAUCGGCCGGCGUAUACUCGUCGGAGACCGGCACGUGGGGAGAGCUGACCUCGAUGUACAGCGAAUUCAUGAUGUUCUUUGAAAAGUAUUCCAGCCUGCUCGUUGGGAGGUCUCUGCUCUACUUCAUGUCCGAUGCUGGGUUGAUCCUGGAGUACGAUUUAGUGAGGCAUGGCCUGACCGUCUUCGACACACCUGACUGCCAGCCCGGCUACAAGUCCGACUGUGGGUCGUCGUCCUCGGACGACAACAGAUUUAAACUCAUGCUUGUGGAGGAUGGUGGGCUGGGAGUUAGUGAAGAAUCGGGUCUGCGCCUCAAACUGUGGACAAGGAAGGCGACCACUGAUGCACCAUGGGUAGUGAACUGCAUCUUCUGCUUGGAGAAUUUGCUUCCAGCUAGCGAUCUCUUGGUCCCGGGUAUAAAUUAUAGAGUGACCGUGCUGGGCUUUACUGAGGAAGCGCAAGUCAUUUUCGUUGACACGAUUGAUAGCCUCUUCACAAUCGAUCUGCAAUUAGGGUUGGUGACGGAGGUGCCGGAUGAUCGUGGCUUCUGCAAUCUGAUUCCAGUUGUCGGCUUCUACACUCCUGUGCCC
rnacentral:rRNA from 1 species